rnacentral:lncRNA from 1 species
GAUGCUGCCCAAAAAGAGAAGAAAAGAAUGAAAAUACUUUCUUAUCCAGCUGUACAAGUGCUCCUAACUCAGUAUCAUACCUCCCUUACUAGAAUUGUUGCUAUCCCAGAGAAAUGUUAUAUGGCUUCUUGUCCCAUUGACUAGCCACAUUCUCCUUUCUAUUUACUUUUCUAGGUGCCUGCUUCUCUUCUCUACUCUUCAACUCUGUUUUCCCUAAAACAGAACCUGUUUUAGAAGGAGUUACUAUUGAGUGUCUCUUCCUCUGUCAUCCAAAUAUCCUGGAUUUACUGGGAAAUGUUGAGAUUCUGCACAGCACAGAAACCUGGGCUCCAGAUCCAGGACAGAAAGCCUACAAAAAGAUUGAAAAGAAAAUGUGUACACUACUUUUAAUGUGAGUGAUGAGUGCAUAAUCACUUAUACCCUAGUCCUCUGGGGAGGUAGAAACCAGGGCUCUAGAUCAUUCUGCACAGAAGGCAGGUAGAAGGCUUUCUUGAUGGUGACAAAUGCCCAAAUUGAAGAAUAUGGUUCACACUAUGCUCCCUUGGGGAUAACCAUAG